rnacentral:rRNA from 1 species
UACGUAGGGUCCGAGCGUUGUCCGGAAUUAUUGGGCGUAAAGGGCUCGUAGGCGGUUUGUCGCGUCGGGAGUGAAAACACGGGGCUUAACCCCGUGCCUGCUUCCGAUACGGGCAGACUAGAGGUAUGCAGGGGAGAACGGAAUUCCUGGUGUAGCGGUGAAAUGCGCAGAUAUCAGGAGGAACACCGGUGGCGAAGGCGGUUCUCUGGGCAUUACCUGACGCUGAGGCUCGAAGGCCAGGGUAGCGAAAGGG